GGGUGCGAUCACACCAGCACUAAUGCACCGGAUACCACCAGAACUCCAUAGUUAAGCGUGCUUGGGCGAGAGUAGUACUAGGAUGGGUGACCCCCUACGUAGUCCUCGUGUUGCAUCCU